CAGUCGCCGCGGGAAUACGUAGGGUGCAAGCGUUAAUCGGAAUUACUGGGCGUAAAGCGUGCGCAGGCGGUUAUAUAAGACAGAUGUGAAAUCACCGGGCUCAACCUGGGAACUGCAUUUGUGACUGUAUAGCUAGAGUACGGCAGAGGGGGAUGGAAUUCCGCGUGUAGCAGUGAAAUGCGUAGAUAUGCGGAGGAACACCGAUGGCGAAGGCAAUCCCCUGGGCCUGUACUGACGCUCAUGCACGAAAGCGUGGGGAGCAAACAGGAUUAGAUACCCCCGUAGUCCCUGUCUCUUAUAA
rnacentral:rRNA from 1 species